UCCCUUUUCUCAAGACCCUAGGAAAAAAACCUGGACACUGCUGAGUAACAUGACCUUCCCAAGACACACACAGAAGUGAAAGUCUGGAAUCCCCUGGGUUCCGUGUGCUUUUGAGCAUGGCCUGCCUGAUUAGGAGCCUCUGGAGGAGAGAAAAGUGAUGAGAAACUGGAAGAUUAACACUGGACUCACAGACGUCCAAUCUACACCACCUGGCAGGAGAAAGUUCACAGGGAAAGGGCUCAACCCUUCCGUUGUGAGCUCUCCCAUGGAGAAGAACUGUUAUAGCAGACAGUAUUCUACUCACUCGGGAAGACUGAGGAUAGAGCCUGGUGCCCCGAAUGCCAGUCUAACAGAGGAAAAUGACACUUCAACCCUAUUAUAACUUCACCCCUGCCAACACUGCAAACAUUUCUACUGAAAGAAGAAAGAUCACAUAAGGUGGCCCAAAGCCAGUGGAGUGAUAUACUCAAGUUGCUGAAAGAAAAAGGCUGUCGGCCACAGAUUCUACAUCAAACAAAACUGUCCUUCAAAAAUAAAGAUGAAAUAAAGAUGUUCCCAGAGAAACAGAAACGGAGAGGAUGUGUUGCUUUAGAGACAGUGCUGAAGCGAGAUCGCUACUUCAACUGAGAUGCUCCAGCAGAUGGUGACUCAUCUAUAGGAAGAAAUGAAAAGGAACCAACUGUAAAACAUGUUAUUAAAAACAAGGCACCGGAGGAAAUUUCAUAGGGUGGAAUUGGAUUGCGUCAGAACUCUACACUUUGGUACGUGUUGAUGGCCCACUCUCCUGAAUUGUGCAAGAACACUCAUGAGAAGACCUGUCAGAAAUGCUGAGGCUGUCGAAGUGUGCAGGGAUCAGCUGAGGUUAUUUAACCAGGUUAUUUGUCUCAUUGUUCCUGAGUUAACGUCCUACGAGUUACUCAAGCCCCACGAAGGAAGCAGCUUUUCCAUGAAGACUCCUGGCGCACACCAGAAGGAGCCUCGUCCCCAGUGGCAGACAGGUUCCUGAUACUCUUCGAGCUGUGAGAGGAGGAAGGAGGUGUUGACUGUUUCUCAGCACAGCCAGGAGAAUGCAGAUGGCGCCUUCACUCAGCAGGGGGUUGCAGAUGGAAGGCAACACCCAAGUGCCACCACUCUCCAUGCGCCUGCACGCUCCACUGUUACUAGACGUUCAAGUGUGUGCACACCACACACACACACACACCCUACCCCAGACAUCGUCCUGCGUUUCCCUGGCAAAGUAAGAAGCAAAAAUGAACUCACUCUCCCCCCAUUUAAGAUAGAAAAUAUCCACAUUGAUUUCCUCUAACUGCAAUGUGUAUAGGAA